rnacentral:rRNA from 1 species
UAGCUGUAAACGAUGGGCACUAAGUAGAGGGAAUUACCGAUAUUCUCUCUGCCGUAGCUAACGCAUUAAGUGCCCCGCCUGGGGAGUACGGCCGCAAGGCUAAAACUCAAAAGAAUUGACGGGGGCUCGCACAAGCGGUGGAGCAUGUGGCUUAAUUCGAUGCAACGCGAAAAACCUUACCGGGGCUUGACAUGGUAGAAGUAGGAACCCGAAAGGGUAACGAACGGUAUCCAGUCCGUAGCUAUUACAGGUGUUGCAUGGCUG